GCAAUGUUGCUCAAGGUGAAGUACCAGAAUACCAAGAAGUACAUCCGAUUGCUGUUGGGGUUCACCUUUUUGGAUUUCAUUGCUCAAGUCAAAUACAAGUUUGGGCUUCCUGAUGCUACCGAACUUGAUGCUUUUGAUGAAACCAACACAUUAGUCGAGGAAGACAUCUUUUCUGAACUGAUAGAGGCCAGUCCGGAUUUAUGCCUGACAGUACGUGACAGAAUUCCUGAUGCAGCUCAGACACUGGAGGAAAACAUCAUUCUUGAGAUACAGCUUGAUCCUGGUCCAAGUCCAACAACAC